GAUGAACGCUGGCGGCGUGCCUAAUACAUGCAAGUCGAGCGAACAGAUAAGGAGCUUGCUCCUUUGAAGUUAGCGGCGGACGGGUGAGUAACACGUGGGUAACCUACCUAUAAGACUGGGAUAACUUCGGGAAACCGGAGCUAAUACCGGAUAACAUUUAGAACCGCAUGGCUCUAAAGUGAAAGAUGGUUUUGCUAUCACUUAUAGAUGGACCCGCGCCGUAUUAGCUAGUUGGUAAGGUAACGGCUUACCAAGGCGACGAUACGUAGCCGACCUGAGAGGGUGAUCGGCCACACUGGAACUGAGACACGGUCCAGACUCCUACGGGAGGCAGCAGUAGGGAAUCUUCCGCAAUGGGCGAAAGCCUGACGGAGCAACGCCGCGUGAGUGAUGAAGGGUUUCGGCUCGUAAAACUCUGUUAUUAGGGAAGAACAAAUGUGUAAGUAACUGUGCACAUCUUGACGGUACCUAAUCAGAAAGCCACGGCUAACUACGUGCCAGCAGCCGCGGUAAUACGUAGGUGGCAAGCGUUAUCCGGAAUUAUUGGGCGUAAAGCGCGCGUAGGCGGUUUCUUAAGUCUGAUGUGAACGCCCACGGCUCAACCGUGGAGGGUCAUUGGAAACUGGGAAACUUGAGUGCAGAAGAGGAAAGUGGAAUUCCAUGUGUAGCGGUGAAAUGCGCAGAGAUAUGGAGGAACACCAGUGGCGAAGGCGACUUUCUGGUCUGUAACUGACGCUGAUGUGCGAAAGCGUGGGGAUCAAACAGGAUUAGAUACCCUGGUAGUCCACGCCGUAAACGAUGAGUGCUAAGUGUUAGGGGGUUUCCGCCCCUUAGUGCUGCAGCUAACGCAUUAAGCACUCCGCCUGGGGAGUACGACCGCAAGGUUGAAACUCAAAGGAAUUGACGGGGACCCGCACAAGCGGUGGAGCAUGUGGUUUAAUUCGAAGCAACGCGAAGAACCUUACCAAAUCUUGACAUCCUUUGAAAACUCUAGAGAUAGAGCCUUCCCCUUCGGGGGACAAAGUGACAGGUGGUGCAUGGUUGUCGUCAGCUCGUGUCGUGAGAUGUUGGGUUAAGUCCCGCAACGAGCGCAACCCUUAAGCUUAGUUGCCAUCAUUAAGUUGGGCACUCUAGGUUGACUGCCGGUGACAAACCGGAGGAAGGUGGGGAUGACGUCAAAUCAUCAUGCCCCUUAUGAUUUGGGCUACACACGUGCUACAAUGGACAAUACAAAGGGCAGCUAAACCGCGAGGUCAUGCAAAUCCCAUAAAGUUGUUCUCAGUUCGGAUUGUAGUCUGCAACUCGACUACAUGAAGCUGGAAUCGCUAGUAAUCGUAGAUCAGCAUGCUACGGUGAAUACGUUCCCGGGUCU
rnacentral:rRNA from 1 species